UGAAAUGGCUCAAUUGGCAGAGCAGCUGAAUCGUAAUCAGCAGGUUGGGGGUUCGAUUCCCUCUUUCAGC
rnacentral:tRNA from 1 species